rnacentral:lncRNA from 1 species
GCCAGUUCUGAGUAGGACAGCAAGGAGAGGAACCAGUCUGAAGUGAGAGACAGAGGAGAGGAAGCCAGUCAUGAAGUGAGAGAGGAGAGGAAGCCAGUCUAAGUUAAGUAGCAGAGAAAGCCAGUCUGAAGUGAGAGAGGAGAGGAAGCCAGUCUGAAGUUAGAGAGCAGAAGAGAGGACAGCCAGUCUGAAGUAGAGAGCAGAGGAGAGGAAGCCGUCUGAAGUGAGAGAGCAAGAG